rnacentral:rRNA from 1 species
UACGUAGGUGGCAAGCGUUGUCCGGAUUUAUUGGGUUUAAAGGGUGCGUAGGCGGUCCUAUAAGUCAGUUGUGAAAUACGGCAGCUUAACUGUCGAGGUGCAAUUGAUACUGCAGGACUUGAGUACAGACGAGGUAGGCGGAAUUGACGGUGUAGCGGUGAAAUGCUUAGAUAUCGUCAAGAACACCGAUAGCGAAGGCAGCUUACUCGACUGUAACUGACGCUGAUGCACGAAAGUGUGGGGAUCAAACAGG